CCUACGGGUGGCAGCAGUGGGGAAUAUUGGGCAAUGGGCGCAAGCCUGACCCAGCAACGCCGCGUGAAGGAAGAAGGCUUUCGGGUUGUUAACUUCUUUUCUCAGGGACGAAGCAAGUGACGGUACCUGAGGAAUAAGCCACGGCUAACUACGUGCCAGCAGCCGCGGUAAUACGUCGGUGGCAAGCGUUAUCCGGAUUUACUGGGUGUAAAGGGCGUGUAGGCGGGACUGCAAGUCAGAUGUGAAAACCACGGGCUCAACCUGUGGCCUGCAUUUGAAACUGUAGUUCUUGAGUACUGGAGAGGCAGACGGAAUGCCUGGUGUAGCGGUGAAAUGCGUAGAUAUCAGGAAGAACACCAGUUGCGAAGGCAGUCUGCUGGACAGCAACUGACGCUGAGGCGCGAAGGCGUGGGGAGCAAACAGGAUUAGAUACCCUUGUAGUC
rnacentral:rRNA from 1 species